rnacentral:rRNA from 1 species
GUAGGGAAUAUUGGACAAUGGGGGGAACCCUGAUCCAGCCAUGCCGCGUGGAGGAAGACUGCCCUCUGGGUUGUAAACUCCUUUUAUAUGGGAAGAACCGUCCUCAUUAAUGAGUGACCUGACGGUACCAUAGGAAUAAGCACCGGCUAACUCCGUGCCAGCAGCCGCGGUAAUACGGAGGGUGCAAGCGUUAUCCGGAUUCACUGGGUUUAAAGGGUGCGUAGGCGGAUAAAUAAGUCAGUGGUGAAAUCAACGGGCUCAACCUGUUAACUGCCAUUGAUACUGUGUAUCUUGAAUAUGAGAGAGGUAGGCGGAAUGUUGCAUGUAGCGGUGAAAUGCUUAGAUAUGCUACGGAACACCGAUUGCGAAGGCAGCUUACUAUUUCGUAAUUGACGCUGAGGCACGAAAGCGUGGGUAGCGAACAGGAUUAGAUACCCCUGUAGUCC